rnacentral:lncRNA from 1 species
AUCACAUUCUAGGAGACAAAACAAGUUUAGUAAAUUUUAAAGGAUUCAAGUCUAACAAAGUAUGAAGUUAAACUAGAAAUCAAUAAUAGAAUAUCUCCAGAAAAACUGCUAACCAUUUGGAAACUAAUUUACACACUUCUAAGUAACAGAGCUUUCUUGAGCAUCGCAGAACCUGGGCACAGGGAGGCCAGAGUCAGCGAGUCUACAGGCUGGAUGUUACAAAGGUUUCCAGAGUAGGGGAAAUCAAGAGCACAAUGUGACGUCAGCCUUUCCGGAGCCUCAAGGACAUUCAAAGGCUUUGUUUUUCAUUCAGCUAUUGAGCUACUGAGAAACACUUCAAUCCUGUAUCCUCAAAACACUAGCAACAAAGGCUGAGUGCAUCCUCACAAAUCCAGUGGAAUCAGAGGUACCCUAACAGUUGAAUAGUUCUAUCUUUCUCUCUCAUUCAAGGCUGGAAUCUGACAUCUACUAAUACUGAGAAAUCAUGACACCUCCACAACAUGGUUGGUGAAUGGAGUAGGUCCACACCCGGGAUCCAAACCUGUGAACCCAGGCCACUGAAGCGGAGUGUAGGGAACUUUAUACUUGACCAUGGGGCUGGGCCCUAAUGUUGGAUUUGCAUCUGCCACUUUGCUUUUUAAUUUUUAUGUCUCAUAUAUUUUUAUUUCCUCUGUUGCUUCUUUACUGUAUUUUUUUGCAGCAAAUACAUACUUUCUAUUUCAUCAUUUUUAUUCCGUUAUUACCAUUGUUGUUUUCACCAUAUUUUGGGUGUUAUUUUCUUAGCGUUUUUUCUGGAGAUUACAAUAUGUAUCUUAAUUUAUCACAACCAACUUCAGAUCAAUAUUAACAAUUCCAGUAAAACAUAGAUUUUUUUCCAACAAAGCUCCUCUUUUCCCUUCUCCUUUGUGAUAUUAUUACCAUUUCUAUUACAUACACACACGUUAAGGUUCAAC